ensembl:snoRNA small nucleolar RNA, C/D box 111B
CAGCCUGAAGUGAUGAUUCACAUUCAUGUCUCUUCUCUGGUAAAUCUCUUGAAGAAAAUUCUGUGUAUCUGAUCAGGCCU